rnacentral:rRNA from 1 species
AUUGAACGCUGGCGGCAGGCCUAGCACAUGCAAGUCGAGCGGAUGAAGGGAGCUUGCUCCUGGAUUCAGCGGCGGACGGGUGAGUAAUGCCUAGGAAUCUGCCUGGUAGUGGGGGAUAACGUCCGGAAACGGGCGCUAAUACCGCAUACGUCCUGAGGGAGAAAGUGGGGGAUCUUCGGACCUCACGCUAUCAGAUGAGCCUAGGUCGGAUUAGCUAGUUGGUGGGGUAAAGGCCUACCAAGGCGACGAUCCGUAACUGGUCUGAGAGGAUGAUCAGUCACACUGGAACUGAGACACGGUCCAGACUCCUACGGGAGGCAGCAGUGGGGAAUAUUGGACAAUGGGCGAAAGCCUGAUCCAGCCAUGCCGCGUGUGUGAAGAAGGUCUUCGGAUUGUAAAGCACUUUAAGUUGGGAGGAAGGGCAGUAAGUUAAUACCUUGCUGUUUUGACGUUACCAACAGAAUAAGCACCGGCUAACUUCGU